UCAAGCUUUUUGUUUUUAACUGCUUUUAUCCCUGUAUGAGAUAAAGAGAAUUCAAAGUGAAUUCAUUCAAGUCAAGUGAGCUUAUUUUGCAGGAGAUGGGUAUUAAUGUUUUAUUUCAGAGUUUUUGUCAUUCAAUCUGACAGGUGUGGCCAGGCAGGGUUGCUGAAACCAACUCAUCCCCACUCUGGUCUCAUUUCAUCUCCUUGGAUAACAGUCACAGCAGCCACAUGCCAAUGUGCUGAGUCACAUUUUCCAUCAGCAGCAUUUUGCUGUUUGGAAAGUCCUCAAGCAGUGCCGGCUGCCUUAGAGUUGCCUGCAAUAUGGCUCAUGUGUUCCUCACAGACCGCCUGGGAAGUUUGUUAGUCUCAGAGGCAUUUAUUAAAUGUUUAAAACAAAAGCACCGACUGAAGACAAAAGAAACUUCUCUAAUGGAUGAAGUUUGUCCACUGGCAUCAACAGCAAUGAUGUCCUUGCUUCCCAAAGUGUGCACAUUCUUUGCUGAAAAGAAAGGAGAUGAGGUUCCAAGGGAGUAAAGAAUGACUCCAUCAAUACCAGCGUCUGCAUCUGAGGCUUCCACUCUGCCGAUC